UGAAAACACUUGAAUGGCUUUGGCUGGGAACAUGUGUAGCGUGGAUGGCAGUAAUGCAUGUGUGGCUGUAUGUAUGUAGAGAUUUUUUUACGAGUGCAAUAUGAUUCCUAGAAGGAUACAAUGUUGUGGAUGAUGCAUGCAUCUUUACGCGUGUGUGUUUGUGUGUUUGAAUGUAUGUGUGAUCGUUUUUGCCAACUUACCUUAAUAAUUCCAAACAGCAGCAUAACACUCAAGACAAUCAUUGACAUUUGUGUGCCAAUUAUGGCAAAGUAAGCAAUUUGGACGCCUGCAAGAGAAAGGAAAGGAACGAAAAAAAUCAUUAGUAGGUAGUAACGGGGCAUCACUAGCAUUUUUCUGCGAUUCUUGACAAAAUGAAAUUCUUGUUAAGUUGACAUAAUCCCAUUACCAACAGUAACGGUAUUUAAUCUGACAUUUUGUGAGCCUUUUUGCCCACAGUACAAAUUCGUUAAAAUGUC